rnacentral:rRNA from 1 species
UACGUAGGGUGCGAGCGUUGUCCGGAAUUAUUGGGCGUAAAGAGCUCGUAGGCGGUCUGUCGCGUCGGUCGUGAAAACUUGGGGCUUAACCCUGAGCUUGCGGUCGAUACGGGCAUGACUGGAGUUCGGCAGGGGAGACUAGAAUUCCUGGUGUAGCGGUGAAAUGCGCAGAUAUCAGGAGGAACACCGGUGGCGAAGGCGGGUCUCUGGGCCGAUACUGACGCUGAGGAGCGAAAGCGUGGGGAGCGAACAGG